rnacentral:ncRNA from 1 species
UGCACCUUUAUUUUUAAGUGGAAUUAUUGAUUGAACUGAUCCUUUUCCAUAGCUGUUCUCUCCAACAAUUAUUGCUCUUUUAUGAUCUUUAAGCGCACCCGCUACAAUUUCAGAGGCUGAGGCUGAACCAUAAUUAAUCAGAACCAAUAAUGUUUUUCCAUCUGUAAUAUCUCCUUUUUUAGCAAACCAUUUUCGAUUUUCUGAUUUUUUUCUACUUUUUGUAGAUACUAUUUCUCCAUUAUCUAAAAAAAAAUCUGAGAUAGUUAUGGCCUGGGAUAAUAAUCCUCCUGGAUUAUUUC